rnacentral:rRNA from 1 species
ACGAAGGGGGCUAGCGUUGCUCGGAAUGACUGGGCGUAAAGGGCGCGUAGGCGGCUUGCAUAGUUAGGCGUGAAAUUCCUGGGCUCAACCUGGGGACUGCGUCUAAUACAUGCAGGCUUGAGUGUGAAAGAGGGUCGUGGAAUUUCCAGUGUAGAGGUGAAAUUCGUAGAUAUUGGAAAGAACACCGGUGGCGAAGGCGGCGACCUGGUUCAUUACUGACGCUGAGGCGCGAAAGCGUGGGGAGCAAACAG